rnacentral:lncRNA from 1 species
ACCAAAGCCGUGGGACAGGCAGCACCUGCUUGCUGUUUAUGGCAGGGCUGACAAUUUAGCCAUUAUCAGAGCCACUAUUUCAAUAAUUCAUGUCUGCUCAGGAGCCCCAAGGCUAAAGGCAGCCUCCCAUGUCGCUCACAAUUUAACGCUUUAACAGGCUUUCUCUCUUCUGCUGUGCUGCCCCCUAAGCCCAGUCCUACUACACUCUUGGGGGUCUGCAGCAAACUCAGGGCACCUGCAGGGCGAACAAGCUGGGUAGUAACAGGGAAUAGCCCUGAAUUCCUUUGUAUUUUAACAGGAGCGGGCACCCAGAAGGUUCCAGUUUUGUGUGGGAAGGGCCAGACAUGAUCAUGCUUUUUCUUCUGGAACAGUUAAUGCACACCUGGAAGUCAUGCAAGAGACUGUGCCAAUGUCAAACAUAUGCACAUGGAGGUCACUCUGCCUGGCUUUACAUUUCCUACAGCCAGGGGUUGCCUUACACAGGCAGCAUUUGGUCUUUUAAGAUGAAUGGCCACUUUGCCACAAAAAUAUCUUCUCAUCAGAAAUGCUGCUGAUUCAUGUAAAGCUUUUAGAGGCCUUUUCUCUCACUAUCAUGGAAUUAUUGAUUCUCUAUGCAAAGCCCAACCCAUGCAAAAUAAAGGCAAAGCCUGGCUCCUAGAUGAACUGGCUCUUUGGAGGAGCCUGGCUACAGCAGCAGCCGCCAAGACUCGUAUGUCCUUGUAAAAUGCUGCCCAGGCAGCAGGGAUGGAGCCACGGCACUGCUCUGAUUAGGGAGAACUCCCAGGCUGCCACAAAGCACUUCCAUAACUGUCAGACUGCCUUUGUGGCACUCUGUGGCCUGGUCCCACAGCACUCGGGCAGCAGCCUCCAGCACCAGCAGCACUGUGGUACCUGGGAAAGCAAGUGCUUGCAGGCCUGGGCCAUGACAGGAUGGAGGAGUGACAGCUUGAGUGCUCCCUACACAGGGGAAUCAAUGUGCAAACACAACAGGAUGUCAGGGAAGCCCACGUGCAUCAGGGAGAAGGAAGCCACGCUGGCAGCAUCCACAGGCAAUGGCCAGGACAGAGCCAGGAGCGGCAUCCACCUUAAGUGAAGUAAACAGUGUCCAAACACCAUGGCAACAAGAGCAAAUUCCUACCUACCUGCUCUUCUGCAUGUCCUCUCAAGCUUGCUGCAGCAUUACCCUGCUAGCGGGCAGCAUGAGCAUUGUUCUGUGAGGAGGAACAGCGUGCCUCUGCAAAUGCUAUGGAACUUAUUUUGCCUUCAGGCAACAAAAAAUCUGUACAGAUACAUACAUACUUUGUAUGACUGUGUAUUUUCUAUCUCUUACUAUAAAGAACAUCAGUCUUUAUGUGCACAGUCCUUAAAACAUAUAACCAACCUG